rnacentral:lncRNA from 1 species
UUUUUUUUGUGGUUGAAAAAAAAUCUUCUAGUGUAGACUGAAAUACAAAAUUACUUUAGGCUAGUAUUUAUUUUGAAUCCCCUAAUUAUAGUGUAAAAUUCACAAACCUAAUGAGCAAGGGAGAAGCCAAUGGUUUUUGAUCAUUUANNNNNNNNNNNNNNNNNNNNNNNNNNNNNNNNNNNNNNNNNNNNNNNNNNNNNNNNNNNNNNNNNNNNNNNNNNNNNNNNNNNNNNNNNNNNNNNNNNNNNNNNNNNNNNNNNNNNNNNNNNNNNNNNNNNNNNNNNNNNNNNNNNNNNNNNNNNNNNNNNNNNNNNNNNNNNNNNNNNNNNNNNNNNNNNNNNNNNNNNNNNNNNNNNNNNNNNNNNNNNNNNNNNNNNNNNNNNNNNNNNNNNNNNNNNNNNNNNNNNNNNNNNNNNNNNNNNNNNNNNNNNNNNNNNNNNNNNNNNNNNNNNNNNNNNNNNNNNNNNNNNNNNNNNNNNNNNNNNNNNNNNNNNNNNNNNNNNNNNNNNNNNNNNNNNNNNNNNNNNNNNNNNNNNNNNNNNNNNNNNNNNNNNNNNNNNNNNNNNNNNNNNNNNNNNNNNNNNNNNNNNNNNNNUAUAUAUAUAUAUAUAUAUAAGUAAUCAUUGAAUCUAGCCGGCUAUUGGUAUAACAAUGUCUUUAUUAUUUUUUAGAAGAAUAACCCUGAUAUACUCCUAAAAAGAGGAUUCUCGCUCUACUGAAUCGAAAGAACGACUCUUGCGUAACAAAGGUGUGACUCUAAAAAUAAAUAAAUAAAUAAACUAAAAGAGCGAUCAGUGAUAUGAGUAAACGUUACAAAUGAUUAGCUUGGCUACUUAUAUUCCUAUAUAUGAGAAGUGGUGUCUGAUUAAUAUAAUGUGAUAUCAUUAUUAUUGGAUUUAGUCUAAUUUUGGAGGUCAUUGUCAUUCAGGUUCAUGUAAUGUUCUUGGAUUAUAAUAUAAUAUAAUAUAGAGAUAUGCCCUCCACCAUAAAUUAAAAAUAAAAAUAAAAAUUAGAAGAUUGAAAUUCUCAACUACUAUGAUUUAGUAAAUUGUAUUUUCAUUGCCAAUUUUUUCAUGGGGGGUGAUUAUCCUCAGAAAGGGAUUUCUUGUAUUUUAUAUGCACUUGCAUUUUCCUUAAUUUCAUUGUGUUAAUCAACAAUGUUAAGAAAUAAUGUAAUUUGCCACGAUAUGUCCACUAAAAAUGCUUAAUGUUAGUACAUGUUAUAGUAAUUAGCUUAUCGAUGAAGAAUUACCAUUAAACAAAAGAUUUGAUAAUAUACAACAAAAACUCAUAAAGGCAGUUCGAUAGACUAAGAUUUUACUGUACGUGAGGUCUGGGAAGGUUCGGACUAUAUUAAGUCUAUUAUACACAUUUUUACUUUGUAUUUUUGAAAUGGACGGUUUCUUGCAACUUGAACAUGUGACCUCCUAAUUACACACAACGAUAAUAUUUACCUUUGUGUUAACAAUCCACUUCACAUUAUCACAUAUAAUAAAAAUCCUAGCUAGUUUAAAAUCCAAAGUGUAAUGAUCCAAUCGGUCAUUUUAACUUUUAGAAUACCGUUCCCUAAAAUAAAACUUCGCGAAUGUGCUUUUAUUGAUUUAUGACUUGCGGGGAUGGUUGGUUCGGAAUUUAGAAGUGUUCGGGUUAAAUCGGAACACUUGGUUCCUUAAGUUAGCCUUAAAAGGCAAAGUUUGACUUUGGUCAAUAUUUUGAGCAAACGGACUCGGAUCAGUAUUUUGACAAUCUUGGUAGGUCCGUAUCGUGAUUUGAGACUUGAGUGUAUGCCCGAAAUCAAAUUCCAAUGUCCCUAGCCCGAGAUAUGGAAUUUUGAUGAAACCAUUAAAAUAUUUAAGUUCAAAUAGUGACCGGAUAUCGAAUUAUAUGCAAACAACCCCGGAAUAGAAUUUUGAUGAUUCCAGCAGCUCUGUAUGGUGAUUUUGGACUUAGGAGCGUGAUCGAAAUUUUAUUUGGAAGUCCGUAAUGAAAUUAGGCUUGAAAUGGCUAAAACAAGAAUUUAAAUUUGAAAGUUUGACCGGGGAGUUGACUUUUUGAUAUCGGGGUCGGAUUCCGAUUUCGGAAGUUGGAGUAGUUCCGAAAUGUCAAUUAUGAAUUAUGUGCAAAAUUUGAGGUCAAUCGGACUUGAUUUGAUAGAUUUCGGCAUCGGAUGUGGGAGUUAGAAGUUCAAUAGUUUAUUAGGCUUGAAUCGAUGCACAAUUCAUGGUUUCGAUAUUGUUUGAUGCGAUUUGAGGUCUCGAGCAAGUUCGUGUUGUGUUUUGGGAUAGGUUGGUGUAAUUAGACGGGGUCCCGGGGACCUCGAAUGUGUUUUGGGGUAGUUUCGGAUCGAAUUUGGAUGAAAAGCUGCUGCUGGUUUAUUGGUUCUGGUUUUGUUCUUCGCGAAUGCGAAGGGAGUCCCGCGUCCACGAAGAAGAAAAAUGGUGGCUGCUAUCUUGUGCUUCGCGAACAUGAUCAGUGGGUCGCGAACGCGAAGAGGAGUUUUGAGGCCGCUGGGUUUUUGGCCUUCGCGAACGAGAGGUGUAGUUCGCGAACGCGGAGGGAUUGACUGAGAAAACUACGCGAACGCAAAGGGUCAAUCAUGAACGCGUAGAAGAAAGAAGGAGACGAGCCUAAGGCUAUUUGGCCUACGCGAACGCGAUGGCUUGAACGCGAACGCGAUGCCUUGCAUGGACAGGCCUUCGCGAACGCAACAAUGGUCACGCGAACGCGAAGGGGAAAUACUGGGGCAGGAACAUUUGGCCUUCGCGAACGCGAGGCAUUUGUCGCGAACGCGAAGAAGAACGGUUCUGGGCAUUGUUCUGUUAAAGACCGGGGUUGGACUCAUUUUCAUUCCAUUUCUUCAUUGCAGCCGAUUUUGGGGACGAUUUUUGAGCACCCUUUCCACCAUCAACCAUGAGGUAAGUGAUUCCUACUAGUUGCGAGUUAAAUACAAGGUCUAUACAUGGAUUUAGACAUGAAAAUUUGUAAAAAUUUGAAGUUUUGAAGAAAAACCUAGAAAUUGGUAUUUUUGAUUUUUCACCACGAAAAUGGUUAUGAAAUUGAAUAGAAAUGAUAUAUUUGAGUUCUUGAGAUUAUGGGUAACGAUUCCCUCUAAAAUUUUCCGAAAUCCGGGUACGUGGGCCCGGAGUGAAUUUUAAGAAUAUUAUCAUUUUGGGUUGGGUAAUUGAAUUAAUAACCUUAUUUUGAAUUAUUGAACAUGUAUUAAUUAUUUUAUAUAACCUUUGGAUAGUUUCGGAUUUUUCGGCAUCGAAUUGAAGUUUUGACACGACAUCGUGAUCGAAACUGGGCUUUGAGACAAGGUAAGUCUCUUGUCUAAUCUUGUGAGGGGAAAAAUUACCCCAUAGGGAUUAAAUUGAAUAAUUAUUGAUAAUUGCGGGGCUACGUAUGCACGAGGUAACGAGAGUCCGUACGUAGCUACUAUUAAUGCUAAAGUCCGAGUAGUUUAGGACUCAAAGCAUGAAUUACUUGUGUACAGUGUAUUCUUUGUUGAAUUAAUAUUAAUUGAUAUGUAUGAAUAUAUUGUGAAUUGUUAGAUAAAGAUAUUAAAGGAUGGAAAUCUCAUAUGCUUAAUUUUCUGUUUAAAUUAAUUAAUUGUUAAAAGAAAUUGUUCUUCCUCCCGGAUUUAUCUCAUAACAAAUAUACUUUCCUUCCGGAGGUACAUAAGAAAAUGUCCUCCUUUCUUGUGGAGCGGGCCGAACGCCUCAGCAGGAUAGAUGCAUCUAUGGAUCGUGUCGCACGUCCCUCGGCAGUGUACACGACACUCUGGAUCGGGCCGAACGUCCUCGGCAGAAAUCGUGCUUAAUAAUAAUAAUAAUAAUCACAGGAUACCUUAAUAGUUUAUUGCAGCUUGUGAGCUAAUUGAUAAAUUAAAAAUUAUUGGAAUUUAUUGAAUUAUUAUUCCUGCUUGUUAAGAAUUAUUGUUAUUACUGUAAAUGAGACUAAUUGAUAAAUUUGAAAAUUUAUUUGAAUUAAAAGAAUUUAAUUAAUAUAUUGAGAAUUGCUGCAUUUGAAGGAAUUUAAUUAUUUUUACUAGUCAAUAAAAUUACUGUUAACUCUGUGAAUCAUGUUGAUAUAAAUAUUUUUAUUUCAUGAUUAAUUAAUAUUAUUGACCCAUAGUGAAUGUCAAAGUCGGCCAUCUCGUCUCUACCACUUCGAGAUUAGGCUUGAUACUUAUUGGGUACACGUUAUUUUCGUACUCAUACUACACUUGCUGCACAUUUUAUUGUGCAUGUAUAUAUAUGUAUAGCGGCCUUGUGGGCGCAGAGGUGUGGUUAAUAAUUGUGGGGACAUAGGUGAGCUGCAUUCUAUAUUAUGAUCUGCAGCUAACAGAGUCUCCUUCAGAGUUAUUAUAUUUUCCUGCCUAAUUUGUAUUCUGGACAGAUGCUGUAUUUUAUUUUUAAUUCCCUAGUAAAUGCUCAUGCACUUGUGACACCGGGUUUUGGGAAUGAUUGUGAAUUGUUUAGAAAUUUAGUUGCUAAAAUUAUUUAUCAUUUAAUCUAUGAGUUUUAUCUUUACUAUUUCAUUGAAGAAAUUUUUAUUUCAAAAAUACUAAAAUGGAUAAUUAAGUUAUUCGAAUUAUGAUUGACUUGCCUGACAGUGAUGUCCGAUGCCAUCACGGCCUUAAUGGAUUUUGGGUCGUGACACAAAGAGGAUACGAUACUAAUUGAGUGAUGAAAAUGACAUUCAAAUUAUCAGACACAUCUGUGCAGGAUAAAAAAAACAAAGAUCAAAUACUAAAUUCAUUUUUUUAACGAUAACAUGUUUUUAUCUUCACGUAACGUUGUAAAUGAAUUGGUUCUUCCUCCUUUCUACAUUUAGCCUAAUUUUGUUAAAUAUAAUUAGAUAAGACAGUUCAAAAGCAAAAUAAAUUUAGCAUAAAAAAGUUAAAAUGAGAUUUAAAUUCUUUUCCUUUUGCUAUUUAUGAAUCAUGUUCAAUAUUGAAAUAUUGAAUUGAAAGUGAGAUGUUCUAGGAUAUUUACUUUAGGAAGUAAAUACAUAAAUUAAUUAUUAAUACCACAAGCUUGAAAGCAACUCGCCACAAAGGUUGUUGUGGGAUGAAUUUGAUUCCUUCACCCUUCAUUAGAGAUCUUGAGUUUGAGUCUUAGGAAUAGAAAAAAACUCUUUAGUGGGAAGCACUUACCCUUUUAAUGGGUAUUACGCUGAGCGAAUCCGAAUUAAUUGGGGAUUCAAUACAAAUAUCAAAUACCAAGUAGGGAAAAAGAACUCAAAAGAUGUUGAAAACUAACUAGCUUAGGAUAGUAGCUAGGGACAGAAGCAAGUUCGAACUCCACAAAUCCUAAGAAAAUGGCUUUUAAGGGCACGCUUGGGAGGAAAUUUAAGUCUUCCUUUUUUUGAAGACUUUCGGUGUCAAUAGUAAUCUCUCUUGCAUUAAUUAUUGUGAAGCAUAAUUCAAAGCCUACGAAUCACUAGAGACACGUUGGCGGAGUUAGAAUUUAAAUUUAGUGAGGUUCGAUCUUUAAAAUUUGUUAACACUUAACUCAUUACUAAAAUUUAGGUUCAUAUAUUAUAUGUGUUGAAAUUUUAGAUAAGUAAUUUUUUUUUAUUCCUCCCAAAUUAUGAGGAUCUAUAGUGUUUUCACACUUCCCCUCCAGCGUGACUCGAACUCAGGACCUAACAGUUGUGGGUAAAAGUGCUUUACCAACUGAGCAAGCCUCACUUGUCAGAUAAGAUUCGUAAUUCGAUAAUAGGUUAUCUGUCUGGUACAACUUGACACGGUUAAGAUAGCACGUGAAUCAUGUCAGGGUGUGGGACAUUCUCCAAGAAAUCUUUGAAAUUUCACCAAUGAGAAAGAAAUUUGGAAUAGAAUUUUUUAGAGAUUUUGUUUGAUGAUAGGUCACUUUCCAAAUCUACAAGUUCAAAGUAGAUAGCAUGUGCAACCCAUUCUUGUUUUAUGGCUAAGAUAGGUGAGACCCAAUCACUUGAAAAAAAGUUUGAAAGUUACAACUCAUGUUUUGUGCUUGCUUCUACUUCAUGCUUCACUUCUUGAAAAUGAUAUCACAGAAUUUGGGCAUUCUUCUACAAACAUUUUGUGUCUUUAAAAGUAGGUAAAGAGAACGAUUUAUGCCAGAUAUAGGUUUACUUAUCUAGUAUUUAGUACUAGGACCCUUUGGAUAAUUAAUGCAUCGAUUUUAAAUAAAACCUCUCCGUUACCAUCACAAGUGAAUAAGAAAAAAUUAAUGUAUCGCAUUUGCCAUGGCUGAUCGCCUUUCUUGAGCGACAACCUUUGCUCGUUCGCAGAAUGCCUUGAUGCAUGCAUCUAUUUUGUUGGAGUGACACUAUGCUUCUUUAUACAUGUUGGAGAGAAAAACCGUUCUCUUAUGCUUUCUUAUUCUUCUCGAGGAUGGUUCAAGGGAAGCCGGUUCUAUUAGAUGAAUUUUCACAUAUUUAUUAUGGUAUGUAUUAAAAAUACUGGAUUUAGUCGAACUUAAUAAAUGUAAGUUGCGCUCGCCUAUGUACUAAAGCAUCUCUCGACUUAUUUUCAAUUUCUAAUCAAACUAUAUAUAGAUCAAAAGGUCGUUGAUUAGCGUUAUUAGUCGACUACACACAAGUACCUAAAACAAAAUGAUUAUAAUAUGUUCUAGGGUUGUAUAGUGGUGGAGUCAGAAUUUUCACAUGGCGUCAAGAAAACCAGUAAACUAAUGUCAUGGCUUAGACUCACUCGGUGAUUUUUUAUUAAAAUUGAAAAUUUUCUUGAAAAAAAAAUCUAGAAGAGAACUGGACUACAUCCCGUUAAACUGCAGUUAAAUUUGUGGUUUACCAUUAUAUGAUCAAAUUAUUUUUUGAUUAUGAGGACCAAUGACGCACGAUUAAAAACUCGGUGGAUAAUGGCUCAGUCCAUCUACCAUAGUCCACUUAAAUACUAUCUUUUGUCUGCAACAAGACUCGAACUCGUGACGUGCGUCUAAACCACACAUCAUGCACCACCCUCUUACCAAUAGUCGUGACGUGUGCCUAAUCCGUACAUCACGCAAAACACUCUUACCACUAGUCCAAAGUCCAAAGUCCUGGAGCAACCAAAAUCACUAAUUUAACCCCAACAAAUAUUCAAACAUAGACCAAUAUCCUUUAAGAAAACCCAAGAAAUGACCAAACAUUCUAUUCCAUUAGAAUAUCCAAUGUCAAAGUAGCAUGAAACUUGUCACUGCAAUAAGCAAAUAAACAGUUGAAAAAGAAAUGGAAAUGACAGAAGCAAUUAGCAACCAAUGUGAAAAGGAAAAGCCAAUGGUGGAAAACAUGACAAGAACCCCUAAAAGUGCUACACAGGAAUCUCCAAAAUUUUCAAAGAACAAGAUUCUAAUUGCAACUCAAAAUCCACCAUAAAAAAUACAACUCUGAAAGAAGAAAGAUUUUAGACAAGAGAAAUGGGACAUUUUAAAAGGUGAGGAGGAAAAGAGUUGGUUGCAGUUAGUUAGUGCUUUGUAGGGCAAGCAAUUGAGUUAGUUAAAGACUACUACUUUUUUAGAAAGACUUACUAUUUCUGAAUGGACAAGUGUCACAAUAUCAAGUUACCUAUUUUCUGGGACUUAUAUCAAAGAUUAACACUUUCUGGGACUUACAUCAAAGAUUAACACACCACCACAUGGAUGCAAGUGCACCUGGAUGGAAUUUUGACAAUAAUCCCAUCCCAACAAAAUGAAGGAAGUAGGUUGCCAUUAGGGUCAUCCUACACCAUCCUUUUUUGGAUAAUCGAGAAAUCCACGAGGUGAAGGGAGCCUUGAGGUAACCGGUAAAGUUGCUGUCAUGUGACUAGAAGGUCACGGGUUCGAGCCGUGGAAAUAGUCCUUUGAAGAAAUUUAGAGUAAGGCUACAUAUAAUAGACCCUUGUGAUCCGGUCCUUCCUCGGACCCCGCGCAUAGCGAGAGCUUAGUGCACCGGGUUGCCUGAGAAAUACCCAGGGCCAGCUGACGCAUGGUUUGAAAGUCGUCGGAUAAUGGGCCGGCUCCUUUACUUUUCUUCACUUAAAUACCAGAUUCUUAACUGCGACAGGAUUUGAACUCAUGAGGUGCGCCUAAUCCAUACAUCAUGCAUUGCGCUUUUGCUACUAGACCAAAGCCGUGGGGCCAUCCCACACCAACUUUCUACCAAAUCUUGUCUUGAAAAGGAUCCAACUUCUACCAUUCAUCUCCAAGAUAAACAUCAAAAGUCAAUUUUCACUGCCUUGAGUUUUCCAAGUCUGUGAGUGCAAAAGAUGCAAAUAUCUCAUCCCUAACAUGUUUCACUGACCAAACUAUUUCUGUAGAGCAAAAAAAAAACACGCCAAGCUAAAAGACUCUGGUCAUAACUCUCCUCCUGAUUCUGGAUUCAAAUCCUCAAUUAUAUGAUAAAAGAGGAAAACAUCAAUGUAAACAGUAAAUUCUGUCAAAGAUCAAGACUAUAAGUUGAGAUUAAACCAGCAGCAUAUUUUAUUCUGUAUUUAGUAUUUAAUUCUUCUUCUGCUAUCUGGGAAAAGAAAAUUUUGAAGCAUUAGAUAAAAAACUAGAGCUAGUGAAGAAGUUAACCCCCCUCCCUCNNNNNNNNNNNNNNNNNNNNNNNNNCCCCCCAUCCCCUGCCCCCCCCCCCCCCCAAAAAACAACCUCCACAACCCCAAAAUCAAAAUCAAUGUCAAUUAUAACAGAAAUUGGUGGCAAACUUGCUGCAAGACUUGAAAACCAACUUUGGUACUGCACUACAAGGGGUGAAUAUAUAAUCUAUAUGCUUGUUUAUUUUUAAUCUGAGUAUACUAGACAGGAAGACAUUAUCUAGUUAUUUUCCUUCUCUCUCUCCACUAUCGCGGCUUUUUGAAACUAUAAUGCAUAGGCAGAAGUUUGUGGUAAAACACCAAGCAAGUUGUAUAAGGUUUUCCUCUGUUGUAUACCACCUGCAUAUGGCUCUCUUUCUCAUUAAUGAAAUAUACUAUUGAAGACGUAAUUAAGCAAACAAAAGUCUGUUCUCUCUAACAACUUAAGCUUUUAGAUGGGUCACACACUUUAACAUGGUAUCAGAGCAAGCAGAGAUCCUGGAUUCGAGUCUGACCGCCGCCCAAUAUCAAAAAGUAUUUUCACGUGCUAGGCUCAUCAACAAGAAUCAAGCUCGCACGUGAGGGGGCGUGUUGAAGACAUAAUUAAGUAAAUAUAAGUGUGCUCUUUCUAACAGCUUAAGCUUUUAGAUGAGAUGGUCACACACUUCAGCAUAUACUUAUCAAUAAUAAACGUCUAAGCAUGUGCUAGUAUCUUGUUUUCUAUGUGAAAUAAUGCAGAAGAAUGAAUACCAUCUUCCAUUAACGAUUAUCAUAACUUGACAAUUGGAUAGUGCAACUGAUAUUGCACUUGUCCAAAUAGAACCUUCUUUACAUAUCUGCAUCACAAAUUUAAAUCAUCAUUUCAUCUAGUGAUAGCAUCAGUUUGUUAGGCAGCAGCAGGUCCGCAAAGAAUCAAAUGCAAAAGUAAACUAGUAAACCAAAUUAACAGUGAUGAGGAAAGAUCUAGCUUGGGAGGCAAAGCAUUCAUUUCCUCUCCCUCUCUUUUUUAAAUGUCAGAAAGGUCAGAUAUAGCUGAGACUUGAGAGAUCCUUACAGUUCAAUGUCUUUCCUCCAUUGCAUCAGGACAAUGAUAAAAGCAAGUUUAGCAUAAAAAGAUUCAAAUAUCACACUCUGAAAUUGUCUAACCUGGUUCUAUUUAUAAACUCAUUGUUGAGGAAGGGGAGGCAGAUUACUUACAUUCUUCUAAUAGCUACUGAGCGUGUUCAUACGAGGAAGAGACAAGGCAAAUUCUGGACAUUUAUGCAGGCUAAACAUUGAGAAAAUGUUUGACCAUAACAAGUGGAAUUACUUAAUCCAUCUGCUGACGCAAAUACUUGGAGAAAAAAUGGAUAAAUUGGAGCCAUCUCUGUGUUUCUUCAGUUAAAUUCUGUAUGUAAAUUGAUAAAAAAACCUGAAGGUCUUUUCUCUUCCCAAAGGGAUUGAGGCAAAGGGAUCAAUUCACUCUUUCCGGCCAUGGAAGAACUAGGCUUGAUCUUCAAAACAACAGUAAAGAAGUGUCGGAUCAAAGGAUCUCAGGUAGGGAAGGAAAUCAAAGCAGAAUCCAAACCUCACAUUCUAUAAGCUAAUGACACUCUUAUCCUAUGUGAUGCUGCAACAACAACAACAUACCCAGUAUAAUCUCACAUAGUGGGGUCUGGGGAGGGUAGAGUGUAGGCAGACCUUACCCCUACCUUGUGGAGAUAGAAAGGUUGUUUCCAAUAGACCCUCGGUCCUAUGUGAUGUUGAUUGUUCAUAAUUGGAACACCUGAAGGCAAUACUUCUUCUACAUUAAUAUGGCAAAAAGCAUUUAUAUGCUAUGAUUACAAAGGAUGUUUGCAGGACUUGGAAGAACUGGCAAAAACAUAUUGGUCCGAAAUUUAAGGAUCUCUCUCCAAAACACACUUGGGUAUGCCUUUGGGUGUAGCCAUAAAUCAACUGAAGUGUGGAAUAGAGUUAUUGAAUAAGUGGAAAGGAAGCUGUCCGAUGGAAAAAUACAAUAUCUAUCUUAAGGGGGGAGGUUAGUACCUAUCAACAGUUUUUCGGAUUCACUACCAAAUCUUAUAUGUCACUCUUUCCAAUACCUACAUCAGUUGAAAAAAGACUGGAUAAAUUGAGGAGAAGUUUCCGGCAGGAAGGUAACAAAGAAAGAAGAUCAUUCCAUCUAAACAGAUCAAGCACUGUCAUAUUAAGCAAAAAGGUGGUCGCCUCGUGGUCAGAAAUUUGGGACUAUACGACAGAAGUUGAUGUUGCAAGUGGCUUUGGAGAUAGAGCACGGAAGAACACACGCUUUGGAGGAAUAUUAUACAGAAAAAAUUGGAUUCCCUGGUGUUCAAACACAAUUAGCUACUCCCACGGAAUUGGAGUCCAGAAGAAACUUAUGGGCUGAAUUCUCCUUAAGAUACAUUUCAAGUUAGGAGAUGGCAGACAACUUUCUCCUUUGCAUCAAAUACACUCACUUGAUGCUCAAUGUCAUAAUACGACAGGUUGGAAAAUUAGCUUCACGAGAGCUUGCAUUGACUGGGAGAUCAACAACAUGAUCGUACCAUUGGAAAAGCUUAGAUGAAACAAAGAAAUUCCCUGAAAAAUCAGACACCAUAAUCUGGAAAGGUCAAAAGAAUGGCAAAUUCUCUCAGUCAACUCCUACUAUGAUACUCGUAUUACACUACAGACACUCAGUGGCCCUGGAAAAGGAUUUGAAAAACAAACGCCCCAGCUAAAGUUGCUUGCUUCACUUGGUUGGCCUCCCAAAAUGCAUGCCUGACAUAGAGAAAUUUACAGAAUAGAGGCAUCAAGCACGUAGCAGAUGCUAUCUCUGGGAUGAACACUGUGAAGAAGCAGAAAAGCAUUUUCUACACUAUAAUAGAAUGCUCUUCCUGAACAUUUUUGGAACACAACGGGUGAUACUCAGAACUGUAAAAGUGGUCAAGAAGUACUCUCAAUAAGGAUCAGAAAGAAUUUCGGCCAAUGACCCUGCCAGCAUUUUAUGGGUCUUAUGGAAAGAGAGGAAUAAAAGAUGCUUCGAAGUUAGCUAACCUGCCCGUAGCUUGAAAUAUAAAUGCUUCUAUUAACUUUCUGCGUGGUGUCAGCUCAAAAAGUGAGUAGGAACCCGUGACAUUGUUAGCUUGAAAGCAUGCAAGUGCUAAUUUUCUAUCGAUAAUAACACUUGCAUACACUCAGGGUAAUAGUUGGUCUUUCUCCAGCAGCAGAAGUUUAGAAGUUACAAAGAUAAUAAUCCUACGAGAAAUAACUGUAAACAGAAUUGAGAACAAGAACAACAGCACAACAGCAUUGAGCAUACUUUAGUACUUACACUGAUCCCAUACGUAAUUUACAUGAUAAUUGAAUGCUCAAUUCCACCAGUAAGUUGCUAAAUUACAAUCUCCUAGAAUACUAAGUAUAGCGCAAACAUACAUAGUGACCAAUACAAUCAAACUUCCCUCAUCCUUUUCAACAUCAAGAAGUAACUUGUGCAAAUUAAUGGGCUUCUCUCUGGCAAACCAACUGCACAUUGAUUCAAGAUCCUGAGUAUUUCUAAGAAUUAAAACUGACCUUUCUAGAUUCUCGUUAAGAUGCCC